ACAACGUUUGAACUUACUUCACCAGGGGAUACUGAGUGGUAGAUGUGUGUUAGCUGCGUGUUAGUGCGUACUUAGAUUUUGAAGUACUUUUUUUUCUCUAAUUUUGAAUCGUUUUAAUUUAUUAGACGGGAAGGAGAGAUUGUCUCGUAUUCUUUUCCAGAAAUAAUUUAGCAAAUAAUUUGCUCACUGUCGGAUUUUUCUCAUCCAUAUUUUUUGUAGCUCGGACAUGUGCUUAGAAAAAAUGGAAUUCUCUUCUAAACUCUUAAACUCUGAGUGCCCGCUGCGAAAGGCCGCCAAGUCUGCUGGAAUGAGACCGAAAUGGAAGUUCGUCCAUAUGUCUACAACCAAGGAGGCCGUAAAACCCUAUUCGACGCCGACCAUUGGAAAAUACUUCCAGCGGCAGCAGAAGAGGAUACGGGCCGCAAAGCUCAGAAAAACCAUGGCGCGAGACGUGGAUGUGAGACGGAACACGGAGGAGACGGUGUUUGAAGAGUGUCUACCGUCCGGAGCAAUGGCGCCGCAGAACACGACGCAGUACCUGAUGAAUGAGGAACUUUGAAGAAAUGUUCGGCCUGUAUGCAUGAACCGGAAAUGAGCUGGUCGCCAUGACUCUGUGAAACUGAUCCGACACGUUUCGCCAUACUGACAAAAGUACAAGCGGCGCACUGGACGCUGCCCGUCCUGUAGGGGGCGCUCCUGAGCCGUGUCCUUGGAAGCCAACGACACGUCACCAUGUCUCUGAUUCCAGUCGCGGAUUGUGAAAUCCAGGUAAACGGGACAGGUAUAUCUGUUACAUUACAUUAUCACUGAUUAGUGGUAAAAAUGUGACAUGACGAAUGGAGAGUGCUUCCCUCAGUUACUGUUGUCUGAGCUGUUCCCAGCAGGUUCUCCCUGACCAGGACAUGUGACUUGGCUGUGGGAGGAGCUGGACACCAAUGAUGUCACUCACCAUGUGACUGCUAUGAGGUGACGCCUUAAAUGUUCACUGUUAAGCUAUUGUGUGUAUGUUGACUUGAGUUUGGUUUUGAUCAUGUACUUUUUUUUUUUAUAAUUUUGGUGUUAUGCCUUUUCAAUAGUACUUAUAUGCGUAAUGUGUUCAUUAAAAUCUUUAACUGAUCAA